rnacentral:rRNA from 1 species
CCUACGGGAGGCAGCAGUGGGGAAUAUUGGACAAUGGGCGCAAGCCUGAUCCAGCAAUGCCGCGUGAGUGAUGAAGGCCUUCGGGUCGUAAAGCUCUUUUACCCGGGAUGAUAAUGACAGUACCGGGAGAAUAAGCUCCGGCUAACUCCGUGCCAGCAGCCGCGGUAAUACGGAGGGAGCUAGCGUUGUUCGGAAUUACUGGGCGUAAAGCGCACGUAGGCGGUUAUUCAAGUCAGAGGUGAAAGCCCGGGGCUCAAACCCGACCGGUAAACCGUCCUUUAA